rnacentral:rRNA from 1 species
GAUGAACGCUGGCGGCGUGCCUAAUACAUGCAAGUCGAGCGAACAGACGCGGAGCUUGCUCCUCUGACGUUAGCGGCGGACGGGUGAGUAACAAGUGGAUAACCUACCUAUCAGACUGGGAUAACUUCGGGAAACCGGAGCUAAUACCGGAUAAUAUAUUGAAUCGCAUGGUUCAAUAGUGAAAGACGGUUUUGCUGUCACUUAUAGAUGGAUCCGCGCCGCAUUAGCUAGUUGGUAAGGUAACGGCUUACCAAGGCAACGAUGCGUAGCCGACCUGAGAGGGUGAUCGACCACACUGGAACUGAGACACGGUCCAGACUCCUACGGGAGGCAGCAGUAGGGAAUCUUACGCAAUGGGGGAAAGCCUGACGGAGCAACGCCGCGUGAGGGAUGAAGGUCUUCUGAUCGUAAAACUCUGUUAUUAGGGAAGAACAAAUGUGUAAGUAACUAUGCACGUCUUGACGGUACCUAAUCAGAAAGCCACGGCUAACUACGUG